rnacentral:antisense_RNA from 1 species
CUUCAGCGAACCCAGCCACAGCGGCGCCGACUCGUCCCGCUCCCGACCGUACGUGGCCAGCAGCGCCUGCGGCUC